GCCGGGGUCGCCUAACUGGUAGGGUGCCAGCCUGCUAAGCUGGUGGGGUUUAUCCCCGUGCGGGUUCGAAUCCCGCCCCCGGCG
rnacentral:tRNA from 1 species